rnacentral:rRNA from 1 species
UACGAGGGGGGGCGAGCGUUGUUCGGAAUUAUUGGGCGUAAAGGGUGCGUAGACGGUUUGGUAAGUCUUGUGUGAAAUCUACAGGCUCAACUUGUAGUCUGCACGAGAAACUGCCGGGCUUGAGUAUGGGAGAGGUGAGUGGAAUUCCUGGUGUAGCGGUGAAAUGCGUAGAUAUCAGGAGGAACACCUGUGGCGAAAGCGGCUCACUGGACCAUAACUGACGCUGAUGCACGAAAGCUAGGGGAGCAAACAGG